UGAAAAAGGAAGAAAUGGAAGCAGUAUUAACUUGGUUUGGUUUACUUUCACACGUUGACAAUUUUUAUAAGGAAAAAAAUACUCCUGACGUAAUUUUUACGAUGUCCUGAUUGACUGAUAAUAAUGUUUUGAACGUACAGUGGCAAAUAUUUCACGCAUUUGACUGAUUGUUAUUUUUUGAACGUACUUAGUGGCAAAUAUGUCACGCAUAUUCUAUAGCUUUUGAUUUUCUUGUAGGUAACCCUUUUUGUUGGUUUGUUGUAGCAUAUUAAUCUUAGGUACCGACUUUAAACAGACCACCAACCUUGUAGAUAUUCUUAUAGUAUUCUGCAUCCUACAUCUCUAAUAGGCGCUUUAAUAUCAGAUAUUUUUUUGAAAUAACCAAAGAAAUAUGAGGUUGUGGAUGAAGUUUACAGAAUAGAAAAUAAUGCCCACCCCCAAAAACGAAGGUGACAAAAACAUAAAGUACAGA
rnacentral:lncRNA from 1 species